rnacentral:rRNA from 1 species
AUCGAACGCUGGCGGCAUGCUUUACACAUGCAAGUCGAACGGUAACAGGCCGCAAGGUGCUGACGAGUGGCGAACGGGUGAGUAAUGCAUCGGAACGUGCCCAGUCGUGGGGGAUAACGCAGCGAGAGCUGCGCUAAUACCGCAUACGAUCUAUGGAUGAAAGCGGGGGACCGUAAGGCCUCGCGCGAUUGGAGCGGCCGAUGUCAGAUUAGGUAGUUGGUGGGGUAAAGGCUCACCAAGCCAACGAUCUGUAGCUGGUCUGAGAGGACGACCAGCCACACUGGGACUGAGACACGGCCCAGACUCCUACGGGAGGCAGCAGUGGGGAAUUUUGGACAAUGGGCGCAAGCCUGAUUCAGCAAUGCCGCGUGCAGGAAGAAGGCCUUCGGGUUGUAAACUGCUUUUGUACGGAACGAAACGGUCUGGGUUAAUACCUCGGGCUAAUGACGGUACCGUAAGAAUAAGCACCGGCUAACUACGUGCCAGCCGCCGCGGUAACAC